AGACUAUGGUGUACCUCUUAAUCUAGUAUCUCAUCUACAAUAUUAAUGUGCGUCUUUAUACCAGAUUCUUCCUGCAGUUAGAAAGCAAUUAAAAUGUCUGAGCUUGCAUGUAUGUCCGACGCUCUGCUGCCCCCUGGUGGUUAAACUUAAUUAAGCCUAUAGACAUCAGUUCUUGAUGCUGACCAUUGCUCCUAUUUUAACGGCAAAAAUAAGCUCACUGUUUUGGUUCUCACACAUAUGCCUAAUUAGACAAGUUAAGCAUCAAUUAUCUUGCUGUAUUUCGUUUAACUUCAUGCUAACGAUACAAAUGUUUAGCCAAGCUUGCUAAAAAUAUAAAAUUGUGCAGACUCUCAU